rnacentral:rRNA from 1 species
UACGAAGGGUGCGAGCGUUGUUCGGAAUUACUGGGCGUAAAGGGUUUGUAGGCAGAAAUGUAAGUCAAGUGUGAAAUCCCCGAGCUAAACUUGGGACGUGCAUUUGAAACUGUGUUUCUUGAGUAUCGUAGAGGGUGGUGGAAUUGUAGGUGUAGGAGUGACAUCCGUAGAGAUCUGCAGGAACAUCAGAGGCGAAGGCGACCACCUGGCCGAUUACUGACGCUGAGGAACGAAAGCGUGGGGAGCAAACAGG